rnacentral:rRNA from 1 species
CCUGAGAAACCCAAAAGAUCGAAUGGGGAGAUUCAUCGUCAGCUCAUUUUGUAUAUGUAUAAGUUAUGAUGCGGGUUACUACUUGUAGUAUUGCCUGCACAUUCUUGUAUAUUUAGUUGCAAGAUGUUGUCGGCGUGCACUUCUCCCCUAGUAGAACGUCGCGACCUGUUGGGUGUCGGUCUACGGCCCAAGUGAUAGACUUUAAUGUAAUUUAAAAAGCAUUAAAGAUCAUUGGUGUUUUCUGACCGGCUACUUGGCAGUAUUCGUACGGUAUUUAGCCGCUAAAUUUAUUAAGCGUCCAUAUCCGUCACAAGCGAGGCUAAUUUACUGAUAGUACGGACCUAGUGCCGUCGUUGGUAUUGGCCAGCUGUUGGUUGUAUGGUAUUCUAGGACUGGCUAAAAUUAAUUACCGGUCGGCGAUGCUACUGCUUUGGGUACUUUCAG